rnacentral:rRNA from 1 species
CGACUGUCUAGUAUAGCAACUAUACGGUGAAACUGCGAAUGGCUCAUUAAAUCAGUUAUCGUUUAUUUGAUAGUACCUUACUACUUGGAUAACCGUGGUAAUUCUAGAGCUAAUACAUGCUAAAAACCCCGCCUUCGGAAGGGGUGUAUUUAUUAGAUAAAAAACCAAUGCCCUUCGGGGCUCUUUGGUGAUUCAUAAUAACUUAACGAAUCGCAUGGCCUUGUGCCGGCGAUGGUUCAUUCAAAUUUCUGCCCUAUCAACUUUCGAUGGUAGGAUAGUGGCCUACCAUGGUUUCAACGGGUAACGGGGAAUUAGGGUUCUAUUCCGGAGAGGGAGCCUGAGAAACGGCUACCACAUCCAAGGAAGGCAGCAGGCGCGCAAAUUACCCAAUCCCGACACGGGGAGGUAGUGACAAUAAAUACUGAUACAGGGCUCUUUUGGGUCUUGUAAUUGGAAUGAGUACAAUUUAAAUCCCUUAACGAGGAACAAUUGGAGGGCAAGUCUGGUGCCAGCAGCCGCGGUAAUUCCAGCUCCAAUAGCGUAUAUUAAAGUUGUUGCAGUUAAAAAGCUCGUAGUUGAACCUUGGGCCUGGCUGGCCGGUCCGCCUCACCGCGUGCACUGGUCCGGCCGGGCCUUUCCUUCUGGGGAGCCGCAUGCCCUUCACUGGGUGUGUCGGGGAACCAGGACUUUUACUUUGAAAAAAUUAGAGUGUUCAAAGCAGGCCUAUGCUCGAAUACAUUAGCAUGGAAUAAUAGAAUAGGACGUGUGGUUCUAUUUUGUUGGUUUCUAGGACCGCCGUAAUGAUUAAUAGGGAUAGUCGGGGGCAUCAGUAUUCCGUUGUCAGAGGUGAAAUUCUUGGAUUUACGGAAGACUAACUACUGCGAAAGCAUUUGCCAAGGAUGUUUUCAUUAAUCAGUGAACGAAAGUUAGGGGAUCGAAGACGAUCAGAUACCGUCGUAGUCUUAACCAUAAACUAUGCCGACUAGGGAUCGGGCGAUGUUAUCUUUUUGACUCGCUCGGCACCUUACGAGAAAUCAAAGUCUUUGGGUCUGGGGAGUAGUCCC